GAACAUCUUAAAAAUCAACUUGUUACCUUAUAUUUGCGCAAGAACGAAAUUAUUAGCAACGGUACAUACACAAUUAGCCUCUUUGUUUGAAUGUGUUAGCAAAUGUUCCAUUGGAUGUGCAAUGCUAGAUGUACAUGGAAGCAUUCGUCAUUUUUCUGUCACUGAUAAUGCCAGUCUGAAUGGACAACAUUAAAGCUAAUCAAGAAACAGUUGUUGAAGAAAAUUCAAGAAGCAAUUUGCUAUGCUUUGGGACUCCGUGUUCUUAUUGCCAUAAAAUUAUAUCAUGCCAUAAAAUUAUAUCAGUCUCCUUGAAGUUCAAAUAUGUUUGUUGAGGAACUAGAUGCAAACCUUCACCGAUGGUUGUUUAUUAUCUUUCACAAGUUUGAGGAGUUUGUACAUCGGAAUUACCUUGCUUUUCUGUUCUGUGAGCUGAAUUACUGUAUUGUUACCUUGCAUACAAGCAGUGACAGCGAACAAGAAGGCAAUGAUGGUGCUCAAACAGCAGGCUCAUGUUGUUUCCCACCGUUGCUGAAGAAGGAGAGCUCAGGAGGUACAAGCAGUGACCGCGAACAGAAGGCAAUGAUGGUGCUCAACAUCAGCUUUCUCCCCAAGAACUCUGUUUUACCUCCACCAAUUUAUUAAAAUACAAGGGAAUUGGUGCAAGUUUUUAUCAAAGUUUGCUUGAGUCAUGUAAUUGGCCAGAAAACAGGUGUUUUUCUGCACUUUCAUGUGUUUUUGAACGUUUGUCCUAUGCUAUAUAGCUUAGUUUUUGUUCUUUAAGAUUUUACAUUUACUCAACAUGUCAUUUAAUUGUGAAAAAAGUUGGUUUUUUCAAUUUCCUUGUACUGGUUACUAGACCAUACCUUUUCUUUGCGUUCCUUAGCUGUCAUAACUGAAUUCAUACUGAAAUGUAAUCUUUGAGAAGUUUGUACAUCACAAUUACCUUGUUUUUUUGUUCUGUGAGCUGAAUUACUGUAUUGUUACCUUGUCUAGCAUGACCGACAAGAAGGCAAUAAUGGUGCUCAAACAUUAGUUUCAUGUUGAUUCCAUCCUUGCUGAAGAAGGAGAAACCAGAAGGUAUGAUGGUUCUCAAACAUAGCUUCUCUCCCAAAGAACUCUUUAACCUCCGCCCAUUUAUUAAAAUACAAGGAACUAGUGCAAGUUUUAUCAAAGUAUGCUUGAGUCAUGCAAUUUGCCAGAAAACAGGGUGUUUUUUUUGUACUUUCAUGUACUUUGAACGUUUGUCCUGUCUAUAUAGUUAGUUUUUAAUCUUUAAGAUUGUACAUUUACUAGGUGCUUAACAUGUCAUUUGAUUGUGAAAGAAGCUGGUUUAUUCCAUUUUCUUGUACUGGUUACUAGACCAUCCUUUUCUUUGCAUUCCUUAGCUGUCAUAACUGAAUUCAUACUGAAGUGUAACAUUAUGAUGGUAUUUUCCAGAGUCUUAGAAGCAGACCUCAUGUUGUUUCGACAAAGACACCACCCUUUGCUGUUGCAUUUCUUACAAGAGUGCCAGGGGGCAGAAGUUAUUUUCACUGACUAGACAGGUUUGAAGAUGAAGGUAGUAAUCAAUGAUGAGAAUCUUGCACAUCAGAGAGCGCUAGCUUUGAUGGAGGCUUCACCAAUAGGUGGUUCUCCCCAGGUUUCCCAAAUAUAAGUUUUUACUCAUCUCCUGCUUGGGCUGCAGAAAGAAAGGCAAUAAUUUAGCUUGUGCAUCUUCAGGGCAGUUUUGAUAGUUUUUUAUCUGCAUUCUUGAUAUGUAUUUCAUAAAUCAAUUACCAAACUUUUUUUCCCCUUUGCAUAGCAUGCUGAUCGCUGAAACAAAUUGGAAAGAGACCAGAAUUUUGGGUUUUCUCUGCCUCUCUGAACCUCUGAAAGAUUUGAACAUCUUAAAUAUCUUUAACUUCAAAUUGUUACAUUCUGUUUGGCCAAGGUCGAAAUUAUUAGCAUGGUUCAUACCCAAUUGCCUCUUCGUUUGAAUGUGCUACAAAAGUUUCAUUUGAUUUGCGAUGCUAGAUGUACAUGGACAUAUUCUUCAUUUUUCUGUCACUGAUAUUGCCAGUCUCAAUGGAUAACAUUAAAGCUAAUCGAGAAACGAUUUUCAAAGAAAAUUCUUGACACAAUUUGCUGUUCUUUGGGACUCUGUGUUCUUGUUGCCAUAAAAUUACCAGUCUAAUUGAACUUCAAAUAUGUAUGUGGAGGAACUAGAGUGCUGUGAACAUUCACCUCUUAUAAUUUAUACGGCAUGCUUCAUAUCAAUGACAAUAAUGUCUUUUUCUUUUCAAUGAAAAAUGUUGGAUAAUUGUUCAUCAUCUUUCACAAGUUUGGAAAGUUUAUACGUCACAAUUGCCUUGAUUUUCUGUUCAAUGAGCUGGAUUACUGUAUUGUAACCUUGCAGAUGAGCAAUGCAAGGAAUGAUGGGCUCAAACAUCAGCUUCGUGUUGUUUUCCAUUGCUGCUGAAGUGAAGAGCUCAGGAGGUAUGUGGUGCACAAAAGUGAUAAUCCAGCACUUCUCUCCCCGAGAACUCUAAGUUUGCAUUCUAAUAAGCUUAAGUCAUGUAAUUGGCAUGAAAACAGGGUGUUUUGCUGCACUUUUAUUUGUUGUUGAAUGCUUACCCUGUGCCACAUCGCUUAUCUUUUGCUCUUGAAGAUUUUUAUGUUUAUUUGGUGCUUAACAUGUGUUGUGAUUGUGAAAGAAUCUGGUUUUCAAUUUUCUUGCACUAGUUACCAGUCCACACCUUUUCUUUGCUUUCGUAGUUUGUCAUGAUUGAAGCUGUUCUGAAAUGUAAUAUUAAGAUGUUUAUUCCGAAGCAGACCUCAUGUUAUUGGACAAAUGACACCACCGAUUGCCGUUGCAUUUCUUACUAGAAUGCCAAGGGACAGAAGUUAUUUGCAUUGAGAGUUUGAAGAUGAAGGCAGUAGUUAUCAAUGAUGUUAAUUUAGCUCAUUAGAUAGCAUUAGCUUUGAUGGAUGUUUCGCAAAUAGUUGGUUCUCCCCAGGUUCCUCAAACAUAAGUUUUUCGGUUUCUCCUGGUCAGAAUGCAGAAAGGAAGGUAAUGAUUUAGCUUGUGUGUCUUGAGGGCAGUUUUAAUAGUUUCUGAUCUACUUUCUUGAUAUGUAUUUAGUAAAUCUAUUACCAAAACUUUUUUUCUUUUUGUUGAUUUCUGAACUGAAAAUGGCUAGUAGCAGGCUUGUAGAGUGUGAUAUGGAUGAAGAAGAAAGAGAGGGGAGCAUCAUCCGAGCAUGGAAGCUGAUGCUGGAGACCUAUCAAGAUGCGCAGCUGAUUAUAGUCAAACUGGACUGAUGGAUGUUUGUGACAGUAGACACAAUAAAUUGGAUAAACAAUCAAUUUGGAGCAGUGAGAAAUGUAGAUGCAAGAAGUCUUGAAUUGCACAAAGAUCCAAGGAAGAGCAGGGAAAACGUUCUUUUCAGUAGAUAUGUGCAUAUUUUGUGAAGAAUUAACACUUUUUAAAAUAUGGCAUUUCAUACUUUUGGUGUAUCAGAAUGUGACAAGUCCUGAUAGUACGUUUUCUUCAUCUUUUAUAGGGAGUAAAAGUAUGUCUAGAGACCAUGCUUGCAAGAUUUCCUACCCUUUUUUAGUUAGACAUUUGAUAGAGAGAACUUUUCCUCUUCAAAUAAUCAUUUUUAUUAUCUAUGAUAGGUGAAAUUGCUUAUCAAUUUUACCUGAUACUGCGAAAUUGCUUUGGGUUCAUAAACAAAUCAUAACAGUAAAAUCUGAAGGCUUUUAUAUAAAACCUAAAUGAUGAUCUUAUUGUUAAAGGUUUUAUAUAAAAAUAGGUACUUAAUGUCAAGAGCCUAAUCUUCAAGACAAAAAAUUUAUUAAAGCCGUUAAAUUAAGUAUUUGUACUAAGAUUUUUAUUUUCCUCUUUCUUUCAAGUAAGGUGGGGAGAGAUGAGCAAUCCAUAGCAUUCUUCAAUCUUCGAUUUAGAGAAUUGGAGUCUUUUCUUUAAGGGUGCGUUUGAUAAAAUUGAAAUUUAAAAUUUGAAAUCUGAAGUCUGAAAUCUAAAUCCAUUAACUACUGAAUUGUUAAGUACUAAAUUUGAUACAUUUAAAUGUAUAUCACAUUAAGUGAUAAGUGAAUAACUUAUCACUUAUUUUUUAGAACAAGUUUUGCUUUGGAAAUUCAUUGCCACUUAAUUAAUCCAUGUGUUUUAGUUUUAGUUAUCGAACGCAUCUGAAUAUAAUAAGCUAUGAAUCCAUUAAAUUUAAGUGUUAAAUUGGAUUAUCAAAUAGAAUCCAAGUUUAAUAGAAUUUCAACUAAAAAUCAAUAGGUUCGUUGAGCUAACAUAAUUUGCUAAUAAUAAUAAUAAUAAUAAUAAUACUUUCAAAUAUUAUUCAGAGAAAUGAGACAUGAGCCUUUAGUCUUCAUUCUCCAGUUGAACUUAGACGUUUUAGACUUUUAGUGGAGCACUUCUUUCAGGUAAAAAUUAAUUUCGCUAAAGCAUUUAAAUAAUUAUAGAAAACUAUUGUUCUCUUGAAUUUGGAUCAUAAAAUAUUUAGAGGUCAAACAUAUUGAUUUCGAUGCUGUUGAACCUCUGAGUAAUUAUCGAAGAACCUUUUGCAAUGAUAUCCUGCCAAGAGAUUCACAAUCCAUGCUAUAUUGCAUUGUUGAAAAUCAUACCAAAAAACCAGUCCUACAAAAAUCACAAUACUGUAGUACAUAUAAUCAGUUAACUUCUGGUCUUCGUGGAGUACAACUGUUUGACCCAUUUCUUUAGCCCAAAAUAAAUUUAUAAGUAGCGAAAGAAACGACCAUAUGAUCAAAACAGUAGGGCAAAAUACGAUUUGCCCUCAUGUAAUUUAGCGCUUUUUCGCAUAAUCUCUCAUAUAGUUUCAUAGUUAUGCAUACUCUUUUCAUGAUUUGGAUGAAAAUGUCAAAAUGACAGAAUUUGUAUUCUAUAAUAGAGUCAAUUAAAAUGUCAACAGUAUUCCUAUGUAAAGUUGAAAAUUAUUUAUUAACCAUGAAAAUUUAUGUAUAUAAUUUAAAAAUCAUAAAGGAAUUAUAUGGUAAAACAUUAAAUCAUAAAGGGGUUACAUGAUAAAUCAUAAAAUCAUACGAGGUUAAAGUAUCAUACAUAUUAUAUUUAUAUAUUUUGGCCAUUUCAACCAGUUUAGUUUUGAAACAAGAGUAAUUUUGACAUUUUCAUGGAUUCCAUUACAAAUGAUCAUUCCAGUUAUUUUGAUACUUUAAUUUAAACAAUGAGAUGAUAAUAUAUAGUUUUUACAACUAUAGAGAGAUUUUGUAAAAAAUUGCUAAACUACAGGGGGUAAAGUAUAUUUUGUCCAAAACAGUAAUACUAGAUUCAAACUAAUGAAAUUCUCUAUGGAUUAAAAUUGCAAAAACACUUUUCCGUUGGCAAGCCGGGACUUUCUUAUUUACAAAGGAUUCAAUUCCGCAAUUGCUUAACUCCAGCUGAAAUCGUGUUGCACCAUGAACUUUCAAAUCAAACCGGAGAACGAUGCCGCCUACGCCAAACCAUUAAAACUAUGUUGAACGGAGUUUGACACGAGGACUAUUGCAGGUGGCAACUCUCCAAAAAGGUUGACCGUCAUUAUUUGGUUAAAAAAAAUAUUAGGAUCAAAUGACAUCUUGUAAAUAAAUUUUAACACCAUAUAUGAGGUCCACAAAAUUUUAUUCUAUAUUUAUAAGUUGCUGAAAAUAAGUUACAUUCUAAAUAAAGUGAAUUACAUCUUGUGCAAAUGAAACAAAAUCGGCCCAAAUGAUUUUUCUGACAAUCGUUUGAAUCCUUGGUCCAUGGCAAACUUAUUACAAUACAUAGAGAGGCCUUCUCUUAUAGAUUAUAUAUCACUGCACACUAUUACACUAAUAAUUGAGUCUGACUUGUGAGGGUGGCAACUGUGGUCCAUAAUAGAAUUUUCAUAAGACAUACUUGGUUUCUAAAUUAUCCUUCACAUUUUGUUGAAUAAAUUAUUUCAUCCUUUACUUUUAAAAUGAUAACUUUAUGUUUCAUACAAAAUCAAAUCAGUAAAAUUUGAUUCCAAUCUAGAUUUUUUACCAUAUUUUAUCCUAAAUCUAUCACGUGACCCAUAUGCAAUCAUUAUUUAUGUAUGGAAAGGUUGAUCAGUUGCACGACGAAAAAUUACCCACUAAUGUAUGAGGAUAGUCUCUGAUGCCACAUCAUACAUUUGCACUUAUUAGUGUAAAAAAUUUUAACAUUAAUAGUGUAUACAAUAUUAAUCCUAUAUAUUUAAUAAUUCAAAGAAUUAUUAGAUUAGAAAAUUCAAUGUGCAUUCAUAUACAUAGAUCAAGAAAAUAAAAUAAAAAGUGCAAGGACAAUUGUAUAUCUUUCGUAUUGUAGGCUCUAUUUUCAAAUUCGGACCGGAUCGAUCGGUCUGACCGAUCAAAUAAAAAAUUGAUUGUUCGAUUCGAGUUAACUUUAAAAAUUGAAAGAUUAAAAAAAUCAAUCAAAUCUGGUCAAACCGGGUCAACCUGAUUUGACCGAAAAAAUAAAGAACCGGACUUGUCAUCACCAUGGUUUUCGUGGGCAGCCUUUUUUGACUUUUUUCCGGAGAUAACGGGAGGGAAACAUAUUCGGAGAUUUUGAGCCAUGAUGAAAGAAUCUUUUUUUUUUAUAUUUUUUUGAAAGGUCAAAAUAUCUUUAAUAUACUUUAAUAUUAUAUUUUGAUCCCUAAGUUGUUAAAAAUUAUUAAUAUAUCUCAAAUAUUUCAUAUUUUAUAAACAUUAUCUUAAAGUUUGGUGUUAUUUUUCAAUUAAGUCUAUAAUUUUAAUUCUAAACUUGUUAUUGCUCAUUAAAUAAUAUAAAUUGCUAAUUAAUUGUUCUAAUUUCUUUAUAUUUUCUUGUUAAAUAUAUUUGAAACAUCAAAUAUAUAUGAAUACAUCUUUAUUAAUAUUAAUAUGCUAUUAGUAUUUUACAUAUAAUAUUUUAAUUUUUAAAUAAUUUUUAUUUAUGACGUCAUCCGGUUCAACCCCGAUCGAACCCGGUUGAAUCCAUUGACCCCUGAGCUCGACCGAGUCGAUUCCCGGUCCGAUUCUGAAAACAUAGAUUGUAGGUUUCGAGCAAAUAUGUCUUGAUCGGGUUAAGGUUGUGGUUUUUAUAUAGAUUUGAAUCAACUAUCGUAAUAUAGAGGGCAAAGGUUAUGGUUAGAUUAGUAGAUGACCUUUUCUUCUUUUCAAGUGGUCUACUUGAAUUUGUUUAGUAAGAUUGAAUCAGAUAGAGGAUGAACUACGUUAAACAUAGAAUAUGGUAUUAAUAAGGAGUCAGUCGGUGACGUUGAAUUAGAGUAAACUAAAAUUAAGAAAAGACUUAGCUUAAAAGUAUCAAUGGACUUUGUUUUGGCAAACCUUAGGAGAGAUAAAUGUAGUUGAUCGAACAUGAUUAGAAUAAUAUACCAUCCAAAUCUAUUUUCAGUUGAGGAACCACAUAUGUUACAUUUAUGCAUUCAAAUCUACCAAUUGUGAUGCUUUAACAGCACCUUCUUGAUUAUGUAAAUAGUUUUCUAAUUUUUUUUAUGCUUUGAGGGAUAAUUUGUAAAAGUUAGUUUUUUUAAGAGUAAAAUGUCCCUUUUUUUCUUUUUUUUUGAAAUAAAUUCUAGCCAUAUAUAGACAUGUGAGUUUUUUUUAGUAAUAUAGCGAUUUAGAUUUCUUUCAUUAGAAUGCACUGACAAUGAUUUUCAAUGAUUUUCUUAUAAUCCCAUUCAUGAAUAGACUUCUAAUAACUCUUUGGGCUAUUUACACAAUACAAACAUGGAGUUAUUCUUGCAGUAUUGCUCAUAAGAGGGACAAAGUCAAUAUGACUCUCUACUUUGUAAGUUAAUUUGUUUGGACUUCAAGUUAAUAUUUUAAGUAAAGGAUAAAAGUAGCGUGAUAAGUAUAUGUCUGUAUUUGAGGCUUACAAUGUUUUAGCAAAUGCUUGGUAAUCCCCUUACUAAAAUCAAAUUCGAUGAUAAAUUACUAAUUGAUUUUCUAGAUAAAGUCACCGUAUCCUUUAGUUAAGCAUUAAGAGAUGAGGCAAACCUAUAGAUGGAGAAGACCUUAGAAUAGUUGGUGAGGUGGUAAGGAGCUUUUCCUAAUUUUCCCUUAAUAAGAUUUUUAUUCCUCUCUUUUCUCAAAAUAAACUUUUUAGCUUUAGUAGCCUGGCUAUUUGAAACAUUUGCAAGUGAAGUUCCAUGAAAACUGCGUUAGAGUUUGCUUAUUCGAGAUAAGGCAAGUGAAAAUGCCAAGCAACUUCCAGUGCAAAAGCAUUCAACUAUGCCAACGAAGCAUUGCGCUUCUACACGGAUUGAGGGCUCACAAUUGGUCACACCAUUAUCCUUUCUUGUCAUUAGAACAUAAUACUAGAAAUAUGCAUAUGAAAUAUUUCGCUUAUUAUGGCAUUUGUACACCUUUAAUGCAACGAAUGUACGAUUUAAACAUUAGUUUAUGUUGUAAUGAAUAUGUAAGUAAGAGUUACAUUAUGGCUAAUCUUUGCCAUAUAGUAUCUCAAGCAAUCAGUCCUAAUAAUUGUUAAGGCACUUUUUACCUAUUCAAUGAGAUUGAAACAAUGCAUCGUUCAAGUUAUUCUUUGUCAAAAGUCGUUAGUCAAGCACUUUCGCAAAAAAACAAAGGAGGAGUAAGUGUUCAUGCCCCGUUCUUGAUAAGAUGGAAGCAAAUGCAUCAUUCAAGUUAUUCUUGGCCAAAAUUCAUUCAUCAUUUUCAAAAGGCUUCAUGAAAGUGAGCUCAACAUUGUUGGUUGUGUGUAAGUUUAAAAGUACUUCAUAUCUCAAGAUACCAUUGAUUCUUAUUUUCUCUUUUCAAAAAUAAAAGUUCAAGUAAUUUGACAUCACAAGUAGGGAUGGCAAUGCACCCACGGGUACCCACCCCGCGGGGGGCUCUCGGGGGGGGGGAAUUUUUUCCCCCGCUUUCCCCCCGCUUAGAAACGGGGCGGGGGGCGGGGGAGUAUACCCCGCCCCAUCCCCCGCCCCGCCACCCGCAAAAAUAUAUAUAUAAUUAUAUAUAAUAUGUAAGUUAAUUAGUUAUAAACUUAUGAUAAUGAUAUUACUAGUUAGAUGUAUUAUAUAAUGUAUAUUAGUUUAUGUAAUAUAAUGGAUAUUAUCAAUUAUAUAAUUAUACAUGUCUACUAAUAGAAUUUAUUAAUUAGUUAUACUAAAUUUACUAAUACAUUUAUACUAAAUUUCUAAUUACACUUAAUAGAAUAACACUUUUUUCUCAAAAAAAAGCACAAACACAAUAAUGAAUUAGUGAUUGUAUUUGUACUAAAAGUGAAAACUUGACUAUUUUAAUUAUAUUUAUUUCAUCAUAUUGGAUUGUAUUCAAAUAACUUCUGUUUGAUUGUUUUUAUGAGUUUCAAUUGUAAAAUUACAAUGAAUAAUAAUUUGGUGAUGUGUUGGCGGGGCGGGGGCGGGGCGGGAGGCGGGGGACGGGGCGGGGGUCGGGGGAAUUAAUAGGCGACGGGGCGGGGGACGGGGGAGGGGUCCCCCGCCCCAUCCCCGCCCCGUUGCCAUCCCUAAUCACAAGCCCGAUUACUGAGACAUAAAGGCAAGUAUAAGUGUUUUACAUGUUUUUCAAAUUAAGAAUAUGUUAUACAUCCCCCAAAAAAUCUUAAAAGAAAAAAAAACUUCCUUUCUUGCUUGAAAAAUUGCAUUGUAACGCGUUCUAUUGUUGGGCCAAUUAAGCCUCAUGAACGAGAUACGGAAGUCAUUGUCUACGAGUAAAUUUUCAAAUUCGGCUGCCUUUUGAAGCUAGUUCGCAAAACGUAAAAGUUUUUAAACAAAGAACGCAUUUACUAUAUCCAAUGUUUAAAAAUUUAGAAAAAAAAAUAUAGUUUUAGUCCUUAUUGUUUAGUCUCUGUAUAGUUUUAGAUCUUAAAGUUUCGGCAAAAGUAAAUCUAGUCGUUAAUGUAUAGUAUAUGUACAGUUUUAGCUCUCCGAGGAUUGGUUUGGCGGUUGAGGUUGCUGAAGAUGGAGACUUAGGUCCCUGGUUCGAAUCUUGCUGCCAGCAAGUUGUGGAGGGUAGGGAAUAGUCUGUGGAGUUCACUCCCUGCGGGACACCCCUAAAACAAAAAAAGUAUAGUAUAUGUACAGUUUUAGACUUUAAAGUUUUGGCAAGAGCAAUCCGAUUUUCAAUGUCACCAAUUUGAAGCAUUUUAAGGACCAUUGGUAAAUUUUUCUAAAUAUUAAUCAAAUCAGACACGUGCAAUCACAUGUUUGUUAAAAAAAACUUCUUAAAAGAGAAUCAAAAUAAUGAGCAAUCUUUAACAAUAAGAAUAACUUGCAUGCUAACACAUUAGUAACAAAUUACUUAAGAAAAAAAGAAAGAAAAUUUGUUAAUCUAUACUAAAAAUUAGGAAUUACAUUUUUUUACUUGGAGACACUAGAGAUAGUUAGUGAACAUGAAUUCUAGAUCAAUGAACUUGGUAUAUUGAAGUUUGAGUUUAGAAAUUUUCCUUCUUUUUAUUGGUUAAAUAGUUAACAGAUGAGUUAUUAGUUCUUAAUUUUAUUGUUUAAAGUUAGCUACUAUUUUUCUUCUUUAUUUUGAAAUUUAAUUUAAUAGGCACAUGCAUGAGUAAAUUUUAUUAGUAAUUGAGAUAAAAUUCUUCAAAUGUCCUAAAUCAACUUUAAAUUGAAUAUAAGGUGGACCAGAUUUGUUCUUACUAAAACUUUUAUGGACUAAAACUACACAUGUACUAAAUAUUGAGGAUCAUGACUGUUUUUGUUAAAACUUUAAGGACUAAAACUGCAUAUGGACUAAACAUUAAGAAUUAAAACUACAUUUUCUUCAAAUAUGGAAUAUUUAUGCCUACAAAGAAUGAAAAGUGGCAUUCAACAAAUGCAACUUUUUAAUAAUUAGGAUUGGUUCAAUGGUUAAGAGAGGACUCUUAAAGUUUUUCUCGCUGUCAAAUUUAGGAUUUGAAUCCUGUGCCGAAUAAUUGAGAGUAGGAAGUAUGUGGGUAUGAGUGGGAGGAUUAAAAAAAAACUGCAACUUUUGAAGUUGCAAAAGGCGCAUUUGAAUCCUUUCAGUUUUUUUACUAACAAAUGACGUGAAUUGCUAUAUGCUUUUCUCCAGUGUGAUUGCGAUUAAAGUUUCUUGUCCCUCUCUGGUGGAACUGACACACAAUUUUUCAAUAAGAAAAAGAUGAAGGGCCCGGCAACAACAGUGAUGUGAAAAUGCCAAGCAACUCCCAUUGCAAAAGCAUCCAAAUUCGGAUAAUUCAACAUUGGCAAUAAUUCAUACAGUAAUUCAGAUAUUUUCAGUAACAGGCCCCGGCAUUGAAUCAUCCAAUUUCCUACUGAAUUGAAGCAUUUGUCACAUAAUUGUCAUUAUUUAUUUCUUGGACCAAAGCAGGGUUGUUAAUGUGAGCAUAAAUGUCUCAUGUGAUAACGGUGGUGGUACAAUUUAAGCAUGGGUUUAUGUUACAGUUAAUAUACGAACACAAAGGUCAAUGUGUAAUCCUAAAAAAUGGGUAAUUGAUUAUGAAUUGUCUAAUUAUAAGGACAUAGAAUAAAAUUUUCUCUUAAUUUCUUAAAUUGGAGAAUAAAAAAAGCCGGUAACUCGUAGUUGACUUAUUAUACAAAUAUAUAUAUAUAUGUUGUUUCUUCAGCUUUAUAAAUUUUUGGUACAAAAUUUUUUUUAUUUUCUUAAGAAUAAAAAUUUUGAAAAAUAUAAUUUGGAAUAAAAGAGAGAAGACAGGGGAAAAAAUAUAUCAACAUAGUAGAGAGAGUUAUAUCUGUCUUUUAGGAAGUCAAGUGUCACAAAAUAAAAAUUAGGGAGUAAAGUGACAAACAGGGCAUAACUUACCGGGAUAAAUGUAAACAGGGCACUACACUGAUGGAGGCCCCCUGAUGUGAACAGCUGAUGGCCGCCUCCAUUGACCCAUCUUAGUAUUGUCACGGCCGACAAAAUUUGGUCUAAGCUUUCAUACAGCUAUUCUUUAUCAAAUCAUCAUGCAACAUAUAUUUAUUUGUAAACCAAACUUGUAACAAAUAUUUGGAGAAAAUAAAGAAGCUAUUGGUGCCCUCUUCUUGCUUCAAGAUCAGGUAACCUCCUCUUCUAUUCAUAAUUUCUUCAUAGACACUAUUAUGGAUACAUUGGCAUGGGGUGUAUGAUGGAAUUCUAUUUUUGUCACAUGAAUUUUCAAAAUUCCUUAAUGAAUUAAAUUUAAAAUUUCACAUGUUUUAGUUGUUUCUUGGAUAUUUGAUUGUGCUUUUUCUUAAAUACUUGAUAGCUUAUUCUUGGUCUUCUACCUGAUUAUUUGAAUCAUUAUAGGGCUUCAAUAAUUUUUCAAAAUUAUCCCUCUUCAAUAAUAUCUAACAAUCCUGGACGACAAGUAGGAUGAGAGAUUAUGAUGUAUGUAUUUCUAGGAAAGUUCGUUAAUUUGCAUUUAGAUCAAUGUUUAAACAAAUUGGAUAACUGAUAAUUUAUUCCUGUUGAAUCAAUUUAUGCUGCACUCAGUACUGAUCUUAAUCACUUACAACUAUGAUCAGAUUAUCACCAAUUAAUGGCUUGGCAUAAUCACUCGUAAGGCAGCAUACGACAUGAAAUAAUUGAUUUUUUUCCAACAAGUAUUGGUGGCAAACUAUGAUCUGAUUUGCAACAAAUUUAUUAUUUUAGUUACCUACUGACUCAUAAAAACAAAUACACUAACAUUAAUACUUUUAGAUGGAUAAGAAAUCACACGAAGAUUCAAAUCAGUUUCACAUUCAACAAAAACCAUGACAAUUAGUUGGUGUUAUUACACAAUUAAGGCCCCCACCAGUGACUAAAUCAGAUUGCGCUAAAAUUAUUUUGAAGUGACCCCACACAAUUUGAUUAAUCACAAUUAUACUAAUCUGAAUCUCACACAUCAACCCACUGGAAUCGUUAACUCAUCUCUCUCUUAUUCUGACUGGCUUCUAUUCUGAUUUCUACCAUUUGUUGCUGAAACAUUCCUUCCAUCUCUGAUAUCAGAAAACCUUUCGAUCCUAGUUCCAAUUCCAAGCAAGAAACAAUGGCUAACGCUGCUAUCAGUGCUGCUGUUAAGGUCGUCUUGGGGACACUUAUUUCCAUUGCUGCGGACCGCAUUGGUAUGGUUCGGGGAGUCGAAGCGGAAUUGGAGAGACUAAGCAAAACUGCUGCAAUGAUCCAAGGUUUCUUGGCUGAUGCUGACGAGAAAAUGCAUACCCAAGGGGUGCGAGAGUGGCUCAAACAGCUAGAGGAUGAGGUUUUUAAAGCUGAUACCGUGCUGGACGAGCUCUACUACGACAAUCUUCGUCGGGAGGUGAAGUACCGAAAUCAACCAAUGAAGAAGAAGGUAUACUUCAUCUUCUCCUCCUUUAAUGCAAUUGGUUUUAGUUCCAGCUUGGCUUCAAAGAUCCGGCACAUCAACACCAGCCUAGAAAGGAUCAACCAACGAGCCCGUGACUUGGGAUUGGACAUUAAGUACCAAAUUGAAGCUGCACCCCUGCUGAUGCCGCUGGUGCCAGACAGACCGACUCUAUUGUCGUUCCGAACGUUGUAGGAAGAUCCGGCGACGAGUCAAAGAUUGUGGACAUGUUAUCGAGCCCAUCUGAAAAUGUUCUUUCUGUUAUUCCCAUAACAGGCCCGGGAGGUUUGGGAAAGACAACUCUGGCGAAAUCAGUCUACAAUAAUCCAAAAAUAGAUGGGCACUUUGGCCAAAAAAUUUGGGUUUGUGUGGCUAAAGAACACAUUAAGAUAAUGGACCUGUUCAAGCUCAUUUUAGUACAAUUGACAGGAGAAGAAGUUAAAGUGGAUGACAGGGAUGUUAUUGUUAAAAGAAUCGGAGAAAAGCUCAAGGGACAAAAUAUUUCCUUGUUCUUGAUGAUGUGUGGGAUCAUGAACAAGGCUUGUGGAAUGAUUAUUUCAACACUUUGAUGGGACUCAACGAAACCAAAGGAAGCUGGUGUCUUGUCACCACUCGUCUGGUACCAGUGGCAAAUGCUGUGUCUAGACCUCUGAAGAUGAACGGUGGUCCUUAUUUCUUAGGAAAGCUAUCAGGUGAUGAGUGCUGGUCCAUCAUAAAAGGAAAGGUGAUGAGUGCAGGGGAAGAAGUACCAAAAGAAUUGGAAGCAUUGAAGAAGCAAAUUUUAGGGAGAUGCGAUGGCCUACCCUUGGCGGCAAGUUUGAUUGGUGGCUUGUUGCUUACCAACAGAAGAGAGAAGUGGCACUCCAUUGUGCAGGAGAGUCUUUUGAAUGAAUAUCAAAGCCAAAUUAAUCAAAUACUUAAGGUGAGCUUUGAUCAUUUGUCAUCUCCAUCAGUUAAGAAAUGUUUUGCAUAUUGCUCGAUUUUUCCCCAGGACACUAAAUUAGGAGAAGAUGAACUAAUUCAGCACUGGGUUGCAGAAGGUUUUGUUCAACCAGAUCGCCAAAACCAAAGAUUGAUGGAGGAAAUAGUGGGUGAUUAUUUGAGGAUUUUGUUACAAAAUUCCUUAUUGGAAAAAGUAGAAGAGUCGUGGGGAACAUAUUAUAAAAUGCAUGAUCUCGUGCAUGAUUUUGCAAAAUCAGUUCUCAAUCCUAAAAGCAGCAGCCAGGAUCGCUACCUUGCAUUACACUCAUAUGAAGAAAUGGCAGAAAAUGUCAGAAGGAAUAAAGCGGCAUCAAUCCGCUCGUUAUUUCUCCAUUUAGGGGUGGCAUAUCUACUGACAUGCUUUUAAGAUUCAAGUGCUUGAAUGUUCUCAAAUUGUCUGGAGAUGAUGUCAAGUUUCUACCGAGCUCCAUUGGCAAACUACUACAUUUGCGGUUGCUCGACAUUUCAUCUUCUAGAAUCACAAGUUUGCCAGAAUCUCUUUGCAAGCUAUAUAAUCUGCAGACACUAACGAUGAGAAAUGGUGCACUUAAAGGAGGUUUUCCAAAACGGAUGAGCGAUUUGAUUAGCUUGCGGCAUCUAAACUACUGUUAUCAUCGUGCAGAAUUGAAAAUGCCGGUGCAGAUGGGACUAUUGACUUGUCUUCAAACUCUGGAGUUUUUUAAUGUAAGUCAAGAGAAGGGUUGUGGCAUCGAAGAGCUUGGGACCUUGAAAUAUCUGAAAGGAUCGUUGGAGAUAAGAAAUCUUGGACUAGUGAAGGGCAAAGAAGCAGCUAAACAAGCAAAAUUGUUUGAAAAGCCAGAUCUGUCCGACUUGGUGUUUGAAUGGAGAGUGGGGAUCGGGAAAGCGAUAACCGUGAGGAGGAUGUGUUGGAAGGUCUCCAACCUCACCCAAAGUUGCAAGGGUUGGAAAUUGAUUCUUUUAUGGGUAAUAAAUUUCCACAAUGGCUUAUCAAUUUGUCAAAAUUGGAGGCAUUGCGGAUAGGAGACUGCAAGAGAUGCAGUGAACUCCCCUCAUUAGGACAACUGCCAUCCCUCAAACGUCUCUAUUUGAUAGGAUUGGACAACAUUCGAUUUAUUGGAGAUGAAUUCUACGGUAUUACUGCUAAUGAGGAGGAGGAGGAGGAGGGCAGAUCACGAGCAUCAGGGAGCGGCAGUAGAAGGCGAAAAUUCUUUCCUGCCCUUGAAAGCCUCUGGGUCUACGGUAUGGGGAAUUUGGCAGAGUGGAAAGGUGCAGACCAAGUGAGGUCAACAGUAGGUGAAGCAGAAGCAGAUGUCUUUCCCGUGCUGAGGAAUUUUUACAUUCGAGAUUGCCCACAGCUGACCGCUCUUGCAUGCUCGGGUAAAAGUCUAUACGUGGAGAAGUGCCAUAAUCUAACAAGUAUAAAAAGGGGUUACGGCACUGCUUCUGUUGAGAAGUUACGGAUCGAAUCUUGCGACAAUCUUAGGGAGCUGCCAGAUCUGGAUCUGUUUGGAUCGAGUUUGCAGCGAUUGACCAUCUCAUUUUGCCCAAGAUUAAUUAGUCUGGGAGUAAAUGGACAGAAAUGCCCCCUACCAUGCCUUGAGGAAUUGAGUAUUCAUAAUUGCGAAGGGUUGACCACUAUAUCCGACAAAAUGUUCCAGUCUCUGCGGUCCCUGACGGUGAAGCGUUGCCCCAAUCUGGUAUCAUUUUCGCUUAAUUUGCAGGAGACGCCUUCUCUCGAGAAAUUCGUCUUAGAGAACUGUCCCAAAUUGAUCCCUCAUAGUUUCAAAGGAUUUGCUUUUGCCACCAGCUUAAGAGAAUUGAGCAUCAACAGUCCCUUCUCCUCAGUUGAUGAUUUUGAUUGGUCUGGUUUAAGAUCAGCAUCAACACUCCGUGAGCUUCAAUUAGAAGGGCUGCCUCACACGGAGUCCCUGCCACACCAGCUUCAAUACUUGACUACCCUCACUUCACUAAGUCUGGCCAACUUUGGAGGAAUAAAAGUGCUACCGGAUUGGAUUGGAAACCUUGUGUCCCUUGAAACCCUAUCGCUAUGGGAUUGCGUCAAGCUUCAGUCUUUACCACCCGAGGCUGCCAUGAGACGACUCACAAAGUUAACAAGUGUUGAAGUUGAUGAGUGUCCUCUGUUAAGACAACGAUACACUCCCCAAAGAGGCAUCUACUUGGAGGAGGAGAUUUCAAGUGAUUCGGUGAGAUUUUCCUGUCUAAAGUUCACACUCAUAUAUAUGUAUAUAAAUUUUUUGUAUCUGCAUCUCAUUGACGUAUAUUUGCUCUUCAGUCUCUUGUACUGUUUUUCUCCAUCUCUUUUCUGCAAAGUUAUUCUCUGUAAUUAAUUCUCUUCUUUUGGGCAGACCUUGGUUUCUUUUCAAAGAUUAGUUUUAACAAAGCCUGGUUUUGAGCAAAUUGGAAGAGACCAAAAUUCUGGAUUUUCUCUGCAUCUCCCCACUGAAAGAUUUUGAACAUCUUAAAAACUCAACCUGUCACCUUCUAUUUGGCCAAGCAUGAAAUUAUUAGCAACGGUGCAUACACAACUAGAGCCUCUCUGUUUGAAUGUGUUAGCAAAUGUUUCAUUGGAUGUGCAAUGCUAGAUGUACAUGGAAGCAUUCGUCAUUUUUUUGUCAUUGAUAUUGCCAGUCUGAAUGGACAACAUUAAAGCUAAUCAAGAAACAGUUGUGAAGAAAAUUCAAGAAGCAAUUUGCUAUGCUUUGGGACUCUGUGUUCUUAUUUCCUUGAAGUUCAAAUAUGUUUGUUGAUGAACUGGAGUGCUGCAAACCUUCACCCCUCACAAUUGGUGAUCAUGCUUCAUAAGAAUGACAAUAAUAUGGGAUGGUUUUUUUGUUCUGUGAGCUGAAUUACUAUAUUGUUACCUUGUCUAGCAGUGACCGAACAAGAAGGCAAUAAUGGUGCUCAAACAUUAGUUUCAUGUUGAUUCCCAUCCUUGCUGAAGAAGGAGAAACCAGAAGGUAUGAUGGUUCUCAAACAUCAGCUUCUCUCCCCAAGAACUCUUUUUAACCUCCGCCCAAUUUAUUAAAAAUACAAGGAAACUAGUGCAAGUUUUUAUCAAAGUAUGCUUGAGUCAUGCAAUUUGCCAGAAAACAGGGUGUUUUUUUUGUACUUUUGAACAUUUGUCCUGUGCUAUAUAGCUUAGUUUUUAAUCUUUAAGAUUGUACAUUUACUAGGUGCUUAACAUGUCAUUUGAUUGUGAAAGAAGCUGGUUUAUUCCAUUUUCUUGUACUGGUUACUAGAC
rnacentral:lncRNA from 1 species